GACGUAGGGCGCGAGCGUUGUCCGGAUUUAUUGGGCGUAAAGAGCUCGUAGGCGGCUUGUUGCGUCGGCUGUGAAAACCCGCGGCUUAACUGUGGGCUUGCAGCUGAUACGGGCAGGCUAGAGUUCGGUAGGGGAGACUGGAAUUCCUGGUGUAGCGGUGAAAUGCGCAGAUAUCAGGAGGAACACCGGUGGCGAAGGCGGCGAUCUGGGUAGAUACUGACGCUGAGGUGCGAAAGCGUGGGGAGCAAACAGG
rnacentral:rRNA from 1 species